UAAAAAAUAAAAAAUUUUCAACGAUGGAUCUCUCGGCUCCCAUAACGAUGAAGAACGCAGCGAAAUGCGAUAUGCAAUGCGAAUUGCAGAACUCCGCGAGUCAUCAGAUUUUCGAACGCAACUGGCGCUGAGAGGAUAUCCUCUUAGCAUGUUUGUUUCAGUGUGCUGUUCAAUUCAUAAAUCUUAAUGCGAUUGAAGGACCUCGUCUUUCUCUCGUUAAAAAGGAAAGUAUAAUGAUACUCAAACUUCCUACGAAGCGGUCACUUUUUACAAGUGAUUUCGUUUGGAAAAUUUGCUUAUCAAUAAUUUAUACCAAAACAAAAUCUACAAUUGGCAUCUGAAAUCAAGCAAGAUAACCCGCUGAACUUAAGCAUAUCAGUAAGCGGAGGAAAAGAAACUAACAAGGAUUACCUUAGUAACUGCGAGUGAACAGGUAAAAGCUCAAGUUGUAAAUCUAUGGUUUACGAUCAUAGAAUUGUAAUCUAAAGAAUUUCACAAAAGGUUAAGUCUUCUCAUAACGCCCUGAAAAGGGUGGUCAUAGAGGGUGAUAACCCCGUAGUUGGAGAAAGACUUGGCCGAAUGUGGGGAUUCGAUGAGUCGGGUUGUUUGGGAUUGCAGCCCUAAGUGGGAGAUAAACUUCUUCUAAAGCUAAAUAUUGAUGGGAGACCGAUAGCAAACAAGUACUGCGAAGGAAAGAUGAAAAGAACUUUGAAAAGAGGGUUAAAAGACGUGAAAUCGUUGAGAAGGAAGCUGUAGAAGAAAAUUAUUUGGAUGUGACGUUUGGAGCGAGAGGAAGAGCAUACGGUUUGUGGAGUACUUCAUUGGCUUGCAGAUCGAUAUGUAAUUCACUCUACUUCUUUUUCAUAUUCAAAAGACAAAAUGAAGUCACAGUUAUAAGAAAAACGCUAGGAAAAGCAAUCGGGCAACCGACCUUCUUAGUGAAAUAUAUAGCGUGGCUUGAGGGUCCUUCGGGAGAUUUUGUCAAAAUGGCUUCUACCGAUCCGUCUUGAAACACGGACCAAGGAGUGUAACACAUAUGCGAGUUUGCGGGUGCAAAAACCCAUAGGCGAAACGAAAGUGAGUAUAAGGUGUGAUGCUUUCUAUACUGGGAGCUGCAACAUCGACCAACCUUGAUCUUCUGUGAAGGGUUUGAGUAAUAGCAUAUCUGUUACGACCCGAAAGAUGGUGAACUAUACUUGAGCAGCCUGAAGCCUGAGGAAACUCAGGUGGAAGGGCGCAGCGGUACUGACGUGCAAAUCGUUCGUCAGACUUGAGUAUAGGGGCGAAAGACUAAUCGAACCAUCUAGUAGCUGGUUCCCUCUGAAAUUUCUCUCAGGAUAGCUGGAACAAAUCUAGCAGUUUUAUCAGGUAAAGCGAAUGAUUAGAGGACUCGGAGCUCCCAGAGCUUUGACCUAUUCUCAAACUUUAAAUUGGUAAGAACUAUUAGUUCUCUUAAUUGAACUAGUAGGUGGAAUGCUUGUUCCAAGUGGGCUUAUCGUGGUAAGCAUGUUAAGCAAUGAGGGAUGAACCUAACGCUGAGAUAAGGCGCCAAAAUUCCCGCUCAUCAGAUACCAUAAAAGGUGUUGAUUCAUAUAGACAGCAGGACGGUGGCCAUGGAAGUCGGAAUCCGCUAAGGAGUGUGUAACAACUCACCUGCCGAAUGAAUUAGCCCUGAAAAUGGAUGGCGCUGAAGCGGGAUGCCGAUACUCAGCCAUCAAAGCAAAUGCGAAGCUUUGAUGAGUAAGAGGGCGUGAACACGGUGCAGAAGCCUUUGGCGUGAGCCUGGGUUGAACUGUGUUUAGUGCAGAUCUUGGUGUUAGUAGCAAAUAUUCAAAUGAGAACUUUGAAGACCGAAGUGGAGAAGGGUUCCAUGAGAACAGCAAUUGGUCAUGGGUUAUCCGAUCCUAAGGCAUAGGGAAAUUCCUUGUAAUACAAGAGCAAUUUGCUCGUUGCCGAAAGGGAAUGAGGUUAAUAUUCCUCAGACUGGACGUGGAUAAUGUAUGGUAACAUAAGUGAGCCCGGAGACAUCGGUAUGAACUCCUGGAAGAGUUAUCUUUUCUUUUUAACAAUCUAUCGCCCUGAAAUGGGAUUAUCCCGAGCUAGGGCUUUAUGGUUGGCAGAGCAUUGCACUCUAUGCAAUGUCAGGUGCGUUCUUAACGAUCCUUGAAAAUCCGGGUAAGAGAUUUAUUCGCACGCCAGGUCGUACCAAUAACCGCAUCAGGUCUCCAAGGUUAGCAGCCUCUGGUCAAUAGGAUAAUGCAGAUAAGGGAAUUCGGCAAAUUAGAUCCGUAACUUCGGGAAAAGGAUUGGCUCUGAGGAUUGGAUUCAAGGGCCCAUUCAUGAACGCUUAGUCGUUAGUUGGUGCGAGGCAACGAGUGCUUUCUGACUUCGACGCUGGAUUGUGUGGGACGCUUCAUCGGCUUUCCUUGAAUAAUUAACAAUUAACUCAGAACUGAAGCGGACAAGGGGAAUCCGACUGUUUAAUAAAAACAUAGCAUUGUGAUGGCCUGAAAAGGUGUUGACACAAUGUGAAUUCUGCCCAGUGCUUUGAAUGUCAAAGUGAAGUAAUUCAACCAAGCGCAGGUAAACGGCGGGAGUAACUAUGACUCUCUUAAGGUAGCCAAAUGCCUCGUCAUCUAAUUAGUGACGCGCAUGAAUGGAUUAAUGAGAUUCCCAC
rnacentral:rRNA from 1 species